GAGACACCCCAGUGAGGGCCCUCAUAUUGCCCUUGUGGACUUCACUGGGACUGAACCCUUCAGACCUAAGAGCUUCUAGGGCUCAGUUAUUGGAAACAUUUUCAGUUUUAUUCUUCUGAAUGACUUAAAGAUUUUUCAAUUAGAAAAACUCUCUUCAUGAAUGACAUGUACUAAUGUACUAAAGAACUUUGCUUCUAGAUCUAUUUAGAAUUGUCACACUUCUUCUACUACUGAUUACUACUGUAAUCUACUGGGAUUACAGGUGUGAGCCACUGCGCCCGGCCAUUUUUUUCUUUCUUUCUUUCUCCUUUUUUUUUUUUUUUUUGAGGUGGAGUCUCGCCCUGUCGCCCAGGCUAGAGUGCAAUGGCGGUAUCUCAGCUCACUGCAACCUCCACCUCCUGGGUUCAAACGAUUCUCCUGCCUCAGCCUCCCGAGUAGCUGGGAUUACAGGCGCCUGCCACCAUGCCCAGCUAAUUUUUGUAUUUUUAGUAGAGACGGGGUUUCACCAUGUUGGCCAGGCUAGUCUGGAACUCCUGACCUUGUGAUCCGCCCGCCUCGGCCUCCCAAAGAGCUGGGAUUACAGGUGUGAGCCACUGCGCCUGGCUCAAAUGUGCUUUUCAAUAAAGGAUUGGGAAAAAAUAAGUUAGAGUGCAACUGCAAAUUCCAAAAUGAUUAAGCCCUUGGAAAUAAAAUGGGAUACAUGAUUUGAAAGAUAUCCAAGAGGUGGCAUGUGCAGUAAGAAGAACUCAGCAUUGGGCAGGCUGGUGGCUAUAGCACCAGUGCUGAGAGGGCAGGAUGUUAAGUAGGAAAGAAAAGCCUUUAGAGAAGGGCAGAGUUCCAGGAUCCCUGUCCAUAUGGACAACAUGACCCUAGUCUCUCAUGUCUGUCAGCUCUUGUGUCUUCUGGCUUUUCUUAGUCUCACUCAGCCACAUUGUUUGUAGCACUCACUUCCCUUGAAGGCACUUGAAACUGGGACAUCUGUCCACAGACAGGCCUGUCUGGACAGCCUUCCAAAAUGCUCAUGGCAAUGAGAAAGUCUCUGAGUCCCAGUCAUUUCCCUGCACACAGAGUAGUUCCCAUCUUAGCAAAACUGGGUGUUCUCUGAGUAUCACUCAGCACAUGGAAGCUGUCCAGACUUCUGUCCUGUGCAGGCAGGCAGUAACCUGGGAUCUCUGCUCUUGCAUGCAGAUAAACUUACAGUCCUUCAAAGCUUCAAGCUCCUAGAUGGUGAAACAAUACAUCUGUGCUGAGAGUGAGGAGAAGGAUGCAAUAGUCUUCCAGUUUUGUACUUUUACACUUCUGGGUCAUCAGAAACCAAAGAUUUGCCUUGGUUUCCCAAAGUGUUGGGAUUACAGGCAUGAUCCACCACGUCCAGCUUCAAUAAUUAUUAUUUUUUAUUUAUUUAUUUUGAGACAGAGUCUUGCUCUGUCACCCAGGCUAGACUGCAGUGGCGCCAUCUCGGCUCACUGCAAGCUCCACCUCCAAGGUUCACACCAUUCUCCUGCCUCAGCCUCCUGAGUAGCUGGGACUACAGGUGCCUGCCACCACACCCAGCUAAUUUUUUGUAUUUUUAGUAGAGACGGGGUUUCACCGUGUUAGCCAGGAUGGUCUCAAUCUGCUGACCUUGUGAUCCACCUGCCUCGGCCUCCUAAAGUACUGGGAUUACAGGCAUGAGCCUCCACACCCGGCCCUCAAUUAUUUUUGAUAGUUUUGUGUCAAUAUUUCCAUGAUAUAUAACAAUUCCUUAUUAUUCUAGCAAUCUUUUCCUCAUCAUUUUGUCUUAG
rnacentral:lncRNA from 10 species